UCCAUUACAAAGAUGACCAUCAUUCAUUUGAUUAGAAAACUUUGACAUGAGAUCUUGGUUAUGUAUAGCUUUUAUUUAAAGAACGCGAGUGGAUCUAACGCGCUUAACAUAUUUUCUCUCUAGACAACAGCUUCGUUAAUCUCGUUUGGACCUCUCCGGUCACAGGCGCUCAUCGUCGAUACUGCAAUGGUCCCCCCCCUUCUUUUCCUUUGUGUUUGCUCUUCAUGAUGGAUAUGGUUGCGAAGUGAGGCUUGAAGACUCGACGGCUCCUUCUCCGGUGGUGCUGUGGCGUGGUUCAACCGACGCGGCGAGACGGUGCUGUGGUGGAUAUAACGGCGAGCGAACGAGAAGCUUUCCAGAUGUUCCGGAGCUGCUUGAGGGCGCGGCGAACGAGAUGUGAGAGGAACUCUGGCAGCUGGAAUAGAUGCUGCGGUGAAGUUGCGGAUGUCGUCGCGGCGGCUAGGUGGGUUGCACUACAAGCUAAGGAAGUAUCGUGGUGGUCGUCUCCGACCUAUGCAGCUGGACCCGUAGACCAAUGCCUCUUAUUGACUAACAUAGGCACGGGCCUGUCUGUCUCUGGUUCCUUGGCCGGAUUGAAGGUUCGGUUGGUAUAAUCAGACGCCGGAGAUUUCGAGUGGGGAUCAGACCUCGCCGAUUAGAUUUGGAAGCUGAGGUCGGCUUUCGGCUGACAUUGACGAUCUUGCGAUGUGCCCGCAAAGCUCAAAUCUUAUAGCCGUCGGUGAGGAUGUCGAUCAGCAAAAGAAACCUUUCAACUUUUUCUUCAAAUUUUAUCUCUCUUCUCCGACCAGCCUCAUCUCGACGUCCGGUUUAGUUUGAUUAAUUUUACUUCGGUUAUCAUUUUAUAAACCAGUUCCAAUUUCCGGUUUGGGCGAUAUUUAAUAUAAUAUUAUUAUAAAAAAAAAAACUUUGACAUGAGAUUCGUGCUGCCCUAGCUAAUGAAUCUGCAUUACUAUUUGCGCUCCCAUUAAUCUGCAUAUAAGAGAACUCGGUAUCAGUGGAUAUACUGAUAAUAUCAUUAAAAUACAUACCUGUUAGUAUAUUUUUGCAUCCUGUGUCAUAUAAUGUCCAU